rnacentral:pre_miRNA from 1 species
ACCUGGCAUACAAUGUAGAUUUCUGUGUUUUUUGGGCAACAGCUACAUUGUCUGCUGGGUUUC